rnacentral:rRNA from 1 species
GUUAACUCUAGCGUUGCACAGAUUACCCAUUCGUAUAAAAACUACACAGUAAAACUGCAAUGGCUCAUUAAAACAGUUAUAGUUUAUUUGAUACAUAAAGUGGAUAACUGUAGAAAAACUAGAGCUAAUACAUGCCAUAACCGCAAGGUUGUAUUUAUUAGAUAUUCCAAUUAAGGUGAAUCAUAAUAACUUCGCAAAUCUUGGCUUGUGCCGAGAUAAAUCAUCCAAGUUUCUGCCCUAUCAUGCUUUCGAUGGUAGUGUAUUGGACUACCAUUGCGAUACUACGGGUAACAGGGAAUUAGGGUUCGAUUCUGGAGAAGGAGCCUGAGACACGGCCUACUACAUCUACGGAAGGCAGCAGGCGCGUAAAUUACCCAAUCCUGACUCAGGGAGGUGGUGACAAGAUAUAACAACAACGAUGCAAAUCGUGAUUGUAGUGAGGGUAUUCUAAACCGAACCACUAGUACGAUUAGAGGGCAAGUCUGGUGCAGCAGCCGCGGUAUUCAGCUCUAUAGCGUAUAUAAAGUGCUGCAGUAAAAGCUCGUAGUGAUUCAGACAGCUUACUCUUGAGUAGCUCUACUAGCUCGACUGACUGCAGAAUGAUGUAGCAGCUUGCAGAACAUGCUGAAACGAUGUUGACUGUAUUCAUCAUAAAAGUGGCUGUUAUUCAGAUGGUAACUGAUCGGUUCAAGGAAAGGUAUCAAGGAAUCAAUUGAAUCACCCCCCCCCCCCCCACAUAAAGACCGUCGAAUAA